GUUACUUGCUUGUAGUCAAACAGAAGGCAGAGCUGCGAAUCAAAUCCAGGUUUGUCUCGACAUGCCACUAGCUCAUACUUCCCUUGGAUCAGCCACUAAAUGGCUUUCACUCCAGUGAGCAGCGACCAGCACUCCUGGGGACAUCAGGGCACUCACGCUCCUUAACACUGGACAGGAGACCUGCGCAGUCAUUCUAGCACCAGAAUUAUGGAACAUUUAUCAACAGCCUAAAAUAAAGACAACACGAGGAGAAUUUGGUUGCUUAUAUAGAUUCAAGGUACAAUCCUGCUGGAUUCUGGGAUUACAGGACUGUAGACAAAAGAGAAAUCAUCAUGGACUGUUCACUGGACAAAAUUUCAUGGAGAGGAGAAGACCUUUGGCGGUUCAUGGAUGUUCUAUAAUAAGUUAGAAGAAAUAUCACAGUGUGCAUGCACAGAAGUACGACCAUGUGAAGAGGUAGCAAGAGAGCAGCAAUCUACAAGCCAAGGAAAGAGGCCACAGAGGAAACCAACCCUGCCAGCAUCUUGAUCUUGGACUUCCAGCUUCCAGAACUAACCAGGGACCCCACUCCCAUGCCGACAGUAUGGGCUGCUGUCUUCAGGACCAUUGCAAGUGUCCUUCACGGUUCGGUUCACAUUUCACAAGCCCCAUGAAGUCUAUCUGGAUUUUCGAUGGAUGUCUUGCCUUUUCCUCUACACACUACAGGAAGAGUGGCCACCCCUGCCAAGGGCCUAGUAUAGUACCCUAUACAUGUAGCUGAUCAGUUGAUUGUUACUGAUCAUAUGUAUCCUGCAUCAUGUUAUAAAAAAUUAACACAGUGCUUGGC
rnacentral:lncRNA from 1 species